rnacentral:rRNA from 1 species
CCUACGGGAGGCAGCAGUAGGGAAUUUUCGUCAAUGGGCGCAAGCCUGAACGAGCAAUGCCGCGUGAACGAGGAAGGUCUUCGGAUCGUAAAGUUCUGUUGAAGGGGAAAAAGAGCGGAGAGAGGAAAUGGUCUCCGAUUGAUAUUACCCUUCGAGGAAGUCACGGCUAACUACGUGCCAGCAGCCGCGGUAAUACGGAGGUGGCGAGCGUUAUCCGGAAUGAUUGGGCGUAAAGGGUGCGUAGGCGGCCUGCUAAGUCUGGAGUGAAAGGUACCGGCUCAACCGGUACAGGCUCUGGAAACUGGCGGGCUAGAGAGCAGGAGAGGGCGGUGGAACUCCAUGGGUAGCGGUAAAAUGCGUAGAUAUAUGGAAGAACACCAGUGGCGAAGGCGGCCGCCUGGCCUGUUGACUGACGCUGAGGCACGAAAGCGUGGGGAGCAAAUAGGAUUAGAUACCCGGGUAGUC